rnacentral:rRNA from 1 species
AUGUGCGCUGACGGCCCGAGUCUAUCUUCAGAGGAGUGGGCACUUCGGUAUAGCCUGGAAGAUACCCUGACUGACAUCUAUGCGAAAGAAGAAGAAUAUUGGCGCCAGCGCGGCUGUUUCAAUUGGAUCCUCUUUGGUGAUGCCAACACGGCAUAUUUUCAGGCCAUUGCCAAUGGCCGUAGGCGGCGGUGCACCAUCCUGAUCCUUUGGGAUGGGGAGCGGUUGUUACAGGACCCAGACGAGAUCCGGGCGCAUGUUGACGAGUUCUAUACAACCUUGUUUUCCGCUCGAGCUCGAGGGGGCCUUGCUCUAGCUGAGAACUUUUGGGAUGAGAAUCUCCGCGUCUCUCCCGAAGAGAACCAGUCUCUUCUCACCCCCUUUGAAGAAACGGAGGUGGAGGCCAUCGUCAAGUCCAUGAACUCGGCCUCUGCCUCGGGCCCGGACGGCCUCCCGGUCCAUUUUUUUCAGGUUUUCUGGCCCACCAUCAAGGGCGAGAUUAUGGCUCUAUUCCUAGAAUUUUCGAGGGGGGCCCUUGAUAUGUCCCGCCUUAACUAUGGGAUCAUCUCUCUGAUCCCUAAGGUCGGGGCAUCGGAUAUUCGACAGUUCUGCCCUAUCACGGUCAUUAACAUGAUCUUUCGGAUUCUGGCCAAGGGGUACGCCACUAGGGCGGCUCUUUUGGCUCCAAGGAUCCAUCACCCGAACCAAUCAGCGUUCACGAAGGGACGAUUCAUUCUCUAUGGGGUCCUAGUACUUCACGAGAUCCUCCAUGAGGUCAAGAGAAAACACCUCCGUGCUGUUUUCUUCAAAAUUGACUUCCAUAAGGCUUAUGAUACGGUUCAUUGGUCCUUUCUCCGUGAGAUCAUGGAGAAGCAUGGGUUCGACCCACAUUGGAUAGCUAGGGUGAUGCAGUUGGUUAUGUCUGGCCACACAGCAGUAAACAUGAACGGGGAGGUUGGCUCCUACUUCCGCACUGCCCAGGGGGUGCGCCAAGGCGACCCCUUGUCCCCUUUCCUAUUUAACCUAAUUGUUGAUGCGCUUGCCACAAUCCUGGACAAAGCACGGAGGGCUGGCCAUAAGCCCGCACCUAGUCGGUGA